rnacentral:rRNA from 1 species
AUGCCCGCCUCCUCCAGGCUCUGCGCUUACGCCACGUGCUCCCUCGCGGCCUCCCCCGUCCCCACCCCCCCUUCCCCACCCCUUCGCUGCCGCCGCCGCCGCCGCCACCGCCGACUCGCCUCCUCCAUGGGCCAGUCCACGAGCUCGCCCUCGGGCAGCGGCCGCAGCCGCGGCGACUCCCGGUGGCCGGCGCUCCGGCUCGAUCUAGGGUUGCCGCCCGGCCGCAAGCAGAGGCCGGCAGGCGAGAGGCUGAAUUUGGGGGACCGGCUGCGCCGCGCGCUGUCGCGGCCGUCGCCCCGGAACACGGAGGUGGAGAUUGAGGCCGAGGAGGAGGGGCGAGACGCUGGGAACCGCGUGGAGGUGGAGGCCGGCGGCGCCGAGGCCGAUCACCUCGUCGUCAUGGUUAACGGCCUCUACGGAAGUUCGGCGGAUUGGAGGUUUGCAGCAGAGCAGUUCGUGAAGAGGCUGCCGGGGAAAGUCUAUGUGCAUCGUAGUGAGUGCAAUCAUUCAAAGUUAACAUACGAUGGAGUUGAUAUAAUGGGCGAAAGACUGGCUGAAGAGGUACACCAAGUUGUCCAGAGAAAAAGAAAUUUGCGGAAAAUCUCUGUUGUUGCUCAUUCACUUGGUGGAUUGAUUUCAAGAUAUGCAAUUGGAAGACUCUAUGAAGAAUCAACAAGCGAAGAGCCAUGCCUUAAUAUGGAGAAGCAUUCUGACCAAGAAAGUAUGUACAGAGGCGGUAAAAUAGCUGGCUUAGAACCAAUGAACUUUAUUGCGUCAGCUACACCACACCUGGGCUCCAGGUGGAAUAAACAACUGCCCUUCCUUUUUGGUGUUCCACUUUUGGAACAAACCGCUGCAGAAACUGCACAUCUUAUAGUUGGGAGAACGGGUAAACACUUGUUCCUCUCGGACAGGGACGAUGGGAAGCCUCCACUUCUCGUGCGAAUGGUUGAAGACGGCGAUGAUGGGAAAUUCAUGUCAGCUUUGCGCUCUUUUAAGCGCCGUGUUGCGUAUGCAAAUAUAACAUAUGACCACAUAGUUGGUUGGAGCACAUCGUCGAUUCGUCGUCAACAUGAGUUACCGAAACUUGAGUUAGAAGCAAAUAAUGAGAAGUACCCGCAUGUUAUCCAUGUCGAUACUGCUAACUCAGAGGGCACUCAGCAAGAGGAUUCUGUAGACACUUCACUCACGGAUAGCCCUGAAGAGGAGAUGAUCCGUGGCCUUACACAAGUGACCUGGGAACGGGUCGAUGUAUGCUUUCAUGAGAGCCGGCUAAAAUACAAUGCGCAUUACAAUAUCCAGGUCAGGACCCCAAUGAACUUGGAGGGAGAAGAUGUCAUCUACCAUAUGAUAGACAAUUUUCUAGUCUAG